rnacentral:rRNA from 1 species
AUACGUAGGGUGCUAGCGUUAUCCGGAUUUACUGGGCGUAAAGGGUGCGUAGGUGGUCUUUCAAGUCGGUGGUUAAAGGCUACGGCUCAACCGUAUUAAGCCGCCGAAACUGGAAGACUUGAGUGCAGGAGAGGAAAGUGGAAUUCUCAGUGUAGCGGUGAAAUGCGUAGAUAUUGAGAAGAACACCAGUAGCGAAGGCGGCUUUCUGGACUGUAACUGACACUGAGACACGAAAGCGUGGGUAGCAAACAGGAUUAGAUACCCUGGUAGUCCACGCCGUAAACGAUGAGUAUUAGGUGUCGGGGGUUACCCCCCUCGGUGCCGCAGUUAACGCAUUAAAUACUCCGCCUGGGGAGUACGCACGCAAGUGUGAAACUCAAAUGAAUUGACGGGG